AGUAGAGAAGAGAGACCUGGGAGACAGGACCAGACAAGCAGAGAGAUUAACUUGAAGCUCCAGAGACAGAAGCAACUCUGAAGCCUGCAAGUAUCACAGUGGUGCUGAAACCGGGAAGAAGUAUCAAGCUGCCAUGGAAGCCUCUCCCCUGGCUGAAAUUGUUAGCUUGUUGGCCCAGAUCAAGCAGAGUCAACAUCAGGCUCUACUACAGGUGUUCAAAGAGCAACAGAGCCACUUUGAGGACCUUGUAAAGGGGCAGAAAGAGGAUUGGAAAGUGGUCCAGAGACUGCUGCACUCCACCCACACUCCAGUCAUGGCCAUCAUGGAAGAUUGGGCAGUCCAACUACUCCCCCAUGAGCUGACUCCCCCGUCAGUGUUUCCAAAUCUUGACCCUUGUAGGAGGUGGAUUUUAUUGAGAAAUGGGACUAGAGGAACUGAUAGAUUAAGUGGGUCUGGAACAAUUCAUAGCCCUGUUACCAGAAGGAACUAUUGCUUGGGUUCAGUGCCACUAGAAGAGGCCACCAGCCUGGCAGAGGCUCACCUGGUGGUAUACAUGGUGACAGGAACACUAUCACAGCCAAGUUGGGGUUCUUGCUCUCGUUCUUUCUCACUACCCUGGGGAACUGGUUCCCUGGUUAAGUUUGGGUUUGGAUUCUUCAAGUGGUGCCAUUAUACAGAUUGGACAUCUCAUCUCUAAGCUGUAGGGGAGUGCCCAUUUUAAAUUAAACCCUGAACCUAG